UUCAAUGAGAGUUUGAUCAUAGCUCAGGAUGAACGUUGGCGGUGUGCCUAAGGUAUGCAAGUCGAACGAACCUUGAAGACUUUGAAACUUCGGUUGAUGAGUCUUCGCUGGUUAGUGGCAAACGGGUGAGUAACACAUGGAUAAUCUGCCUCGAAGUCGAAUACAGCUCGUCGAAAGACGGGGUAAUAUUCGAUAGUCUGAAGGAAACGCAAGUUUUCUUUGGUAAAGCUCCGGCGCUUCGAGAGGAGUCUGUGUCCUAUCAGCUAGUUGGUGAGGUAAUAGCUCACCAAGGCUAAGACGGGUAGCUGGCGUGAGAGCGCGGUCAGCCACAAUGGAACUGAGACACGGUCCAUACUUCUACGGAAGGCAGCAAUUAGGAAUCUUGCGCAAUGGGGGCAACCCUGACGCAGCGACACCGCGUGGAGGACGAAGGUCUAAGGAUCGUAAACUCCUUUUAUAUGGGAAUAAUAAAUGAAGGUACCAUAUGAAUAAGCACCUGCUAACUACGUGCCAGAAGCAUCGGUGAUGCGUAGGGUGCGAACGUUAUCCGGAUUUAUUGGGCGUAUAGAGAUGCGUAGGCGUUCUUGUAAGUCUUGUGUCAAAGACCUUAGCUUAACUAAGGGAAGGCAUCGGAAACUACGAGAAUUGAGAGAGGGAGGGGUGAAUGGAAUUCUCGGUGGAGUGGUGAAAUACGUUGAUAUCGAGAGGAACACCAGCGGCGAAGGCGAUUCACUGGCCCUUUUCUGACGCUCAGGCUCGAAAGCGUGGGGAGCAAAACGGAUUAGAUACCCGUGUAGUCCACGCUGUAAACUAUGGACGCUAGGUGUUUGAUACAAUUGCUACAAGUCUUCGGAUUUGUAGUGAGAGUAUUGAGUGCCGUAGCUAACGCGUUAAGCGUCCCGCCUGUGUACUACGGUCGCAAGACUAAAACAUAAAUGAAUUGGCGGGGACCCGCACAAGCAGAGGAGCGCGUGGUUUAAUUCGAUGGUAAUCGAAGAACCUUACCAGGGUUUGAAAUGUAGCUGCAAGCUUUAGGAAACUAGAGCCGCCUUCGAGGGUGCUACACAGGUGCUGCAUGGCCGUCGUCAGCUCGUGUCGUGAGAUGUAGGGUUAAGUCCCGAAACGAGCGCAACCCCUAUCCUAUGUUACAAGUGUCUUAGGAAACUGCCUCGGUAAAACGGGGAGGAAGGUGGGGAUGAUGUCUGGUCCGCAUGGCCCUUAUGUCCUGGGCGACACACGCGCUACAAUGGUCGGUACAACGGGUAGCCAAACCGCAAGGUGGAGCCAAUCCUAAAAAACCGACCUCAGUUCGGAUUGUAGUCUGAAACUCGACUACAUGAAGUUGGAUUUGCUAGUAAUCGUGAAUCAGCCAUGUCACGGUGAAUACGUUCUCGGGUCUUGCACACACCGCCCGUCACGUCAUGGGAGUAGGUGAUACCCGAAGGUGUCCGGUUUUUAAAUUGGAUAACUAAGGUAACGCUUAUGACUGGGAUGAAGUCGUAACAAGGUAGCCGUAGGGGAAUCUGCGGCUGAAUUACCUCCUUU
rfam:Candidate division WS6 bacterium GW2011_GWF2_39_15 TT34_C0001, whole genome shotgun sequence.